GCCCACAUAUCGUGGCCCGUCGUGGGACCCACACGUCCCAGAAGCUUCUGGCGACGGUGGCCCGUGUGCUCCGUGUGCCGACGGGCGAGGAGUGGCGGAGAGCUGUGCAGUUGUUCUCCAGAUGUGCGCAGCAGCCCCCGCCCACAACGCUUUCCACAAGCGGUCUGAGCGAAGAGCUGUGGGACCUGAGGAGUUUGGGGACCUCUGGCCCGAGUGGUCUCUGCGGACCUAACUGCCUGUUACCCAGUGCCGAGAGGAAGAUGGGCGACUUUAGCCUUCCGCCCACUGGAAGCAGCUAGGGGUGCUUGGAAACACGGGGCACUUGCAAACUCGGCCUGGCAGCACUGUGACUUCGUGGAGGACAGGGGAAUGUGCUAUCAGAAAGCCCAGACCCUUGACCCAUUCUAAUUGAAUGGCCAAGCAAGUUUCUUACCCAGGGUUCCUCUGUAGAAAAUCGAUCUUCGCUACUCUGUGUCUCUAUGAACGGUGGCCAAAUGAAAUAACAUGUGGAGGCACAGAACAGAAUAAAUGUCAAUGUCCUUCCUGCAUCACAAAUGA
rnacentral:lncRNA from 1 species